UAUUUAAUUUUUUCAUUCAGUGGAAACACUGAAAUUGUAUUUCUUAGUUUCAAUUUUAUCGGAAUUAGAAUUGGAUUGAAGUCCUUAGCUUCAAUUCCAAAUCCAAUACCGUUAUCCAAUCGAACUUAUUUCCCACCCAAUUCUACUGCCAAUUUUCAUUUUUAGAGUUGUUUCUCUCUCACCUUGCUAAUAAUUCAGGACUAAGAUCCUGUUUACGGGAAUGAGCCAUCAUUGUGCUUGUUGGGACAAGUGGAAUUUGGGGUAAAUGGUGA
rnacentral:misc_RNA from 1 species